GCGGGUGUGGCGGAAUUGGCAGACGCAACGGACUUAAAAUCCGUUGAGCUUUAGGCUCGUGAGGGUUCAAGUCCCUCCACCCGCACCA
rnacentral:tRNA from 1 species